rnacentral:misc_RNA from 1 species
UGGAGAAUCAUCAUUUCUUCUACAUGAUAGAAUAUUGCGAGACGAGAUACAAGUUCAUCAUAGCAGCUAAAAUUUUCCAUUUUACAUUAGCUCAAACCAAUCUCACAUCCCUAUCUCUCGUACCAGCCAUACCGUUCGUUUCAAACUACAAAAUCUCUCCCCUAAUACAACAUACCCAAUAGUUCAACGAAAAAAACAAUACAAACCUCACAGGAUAACCAACAAUACAACAACAAGAAUCAACAAGAUUGAGCACGUUAGGGUAUUACAAGUUUCUUCCCAGCAUAGAUGGUGUCCCCUUCAAGCCCGUUAGCGUCCUUAAUUUCCUCGAUUGACACCCCAUAUUUUCUAGAGAGUCCCCAAAGAGUGUCUCCCCGCUCAAUCUCUAUCACAUUUGGUGAAACUUCCUUCUUCUCUCUUUUCUCCACGCAACAAUUUGGUUUCUUGACUAUGAGCUCAGGCUCUGGUUGGCAUUGUUGAAGCACUUGAGGCUGAGUUUGAGAUGGAGCUGACUCGAAAACUAUUGCCUUUACUUCACUGGUUUUACUGUUGAUGUUUUGAUGGUUGAAUGGAUUGAGUGCUUUGAGAAUGCUCAUCGCGAUUCCCGAAACGACCACGAAACCAGCUGCCUUUGCUAUAGUUUUCUCCUGAUCGGAGUUGUCUUCCUCAUUACCGGAGCCAUUUUCCGGCGGACGUCGAUUAUUCCACAUCGCUCGAUCGAUCUGGUUCGAUUUUUUGGAAGAAGAAAA